CCAUGGAAGCCCCAGCGCAGCUUCUCUUCCUCCUGCUACUCUGGCUCCCAAUACCACUGGAGAAAUAGUGAUGACGCAGUCUCCAGCCACCCUGUCUGUGUCUCCAGGGGAAAGAGCCACCCUCUCCUGCAGGGCCAGUCAGAGUGUUAGCAGCAACUUAGCCUGGUACCAGCAGAAACCUGGCCAGGCUCCCAGGCUCCUCAUCUAUGGUGCAUCCACCAGGGCCACUGGUAUCCCAGCCAGGUUCAGUGGCAGUGGGUCUGGGACAGAGUUCACUCUCACCAUCAGCAGCCUGCAGUCUGAAGAUUUUGCAGUUUAUUACUGUCAGCAGUAUAAUAACUGGCCUCGACGUUCGGCCAAGGGACCAAGGUGGAAAUCAAAGAACUGUGGCUGCACCAUCUGUCUUCAUCUUCCCGCCAUCUGAUGAGCAGU
rnacentral:lncRNA from 1 species